UACGAAGGUCGCAAGCGUUACUCGGAAUUACUAGGCGUAAAGGGCAGGUAGGUGGUUUGAUAAGUCUGUUGUGAAAGCUCCUGGCUCAACUGGGAGAGGCCAACAGAAACAUAUCAGACUUGAGUAUGGGAGAGGGUACUGGAAUUCCCGGUCGUAGCGGUGAAAUGACGCAGAGAUCGGGAGGAACACCAACGGCGAAAGCACUCUGCUGGGCCGACACUGACACUGAGAGACGAAAGCUAGGGGAGCGAAUGGG
rnacentral:rRNA from 1 species